CGACUUGUCCUACGCCGCCGGUCUGUCAUCAUCAGCGAUUGUUGCCAGUCCACAAGCCUCAGCUCCUCCCUGUACCCCCCAGCGCGGAGGUGAGACCGGGAAACCUGAUUUGGUUCACGCUGACUCUGGCAAGGAGUCAUGUGACUGGAUCACAUGAGGAAGUGGCCAGAGUUCUUUUAGACAUCAGUUGAAUGGUGUUUCUGUAUUAGUUUUCUACCUGAAUGCCGGGGCGGGCCGUCCUCCUCCGUCCCCUGAGGGCUGGUCCCCCUGCCCCAAGAGUGGGUCCAGAAAGCCGACACGAAAGCCAUUCUCAGCUGACACAAGGCACGCCAACCCAACCUCUCCCGCUGCACACAGCAAGUUAACAGCCUGGCAGGAAGGACGGCAGCAUAGCAAUAUCUCAGCAUUAGCAGUGAGUGUGGAAGGAGGUGUGUGGUACGGACACACCAAGAAAAUGUACAGCCUCUACAGCCUCACCUGCGACUUGACAGAGGAACGUGGAUGUUGGUCCAAGCCAGAGGACAUUUUGAUUAUUGCUGAAAAGGCCUGUUUUUGGCUUCAAGAUUGUCGAUCCCUUCAGACGCUGAUGGAGAGAAGGAUUCUGUGCGACCCCUGGUCUCUCAUUGGUUUUCUUUCUGGUUGACCAUCAUGGUGCUCUAUGCAAACAGAAGCUGCUCAUCUUCAUCACACUGACGAAAUGUUCCAAGAUCUCUCUCCUAGAUUUUUGUUCUCGGGUAGCAUUCGAUUCGUAUUUUUCUCUUUUAAAAAGAUAUCAGCUUGUUUUAUUUUUGAGUGAAAUACAGUAACCCUAUUUUGAUUUUAAUUUGCGAUGUUAUACAUGCAGGAGUCUUUACUCUUAAGCCAAUAUGUCUCCUUCAUGUGUUGUUCUUCGUGAGUCGGGUGUGGUCAGGCACUGAGCUGACCUUGCCUCUGCCAGCAGGGCCACAGUCUCUUCCAGACGGGUGAAAUGGUUUACAGACGGUGUCAGUGCACUCAGAGGCCGGUCGAGGCCGCAAAAGGCCCAGUCUACUGGAGGAGGUACUUUUUUAGUGUCAGCAAAGAUUGUGUGCUGUUGACCUCAGAGUGACAUUACAGAAUAUUUAAUAGUGAAAUUUGGAAAGCCGGCUGUAAGUUACAGGGAGGACAGGUAAGCAAAUGAGCUGAGCACUGUCAGCAAGCAACCCCUUCCAGAGGGCCACUGCUGUGUGCUGGUUAGCUCAUAAAUGGGAACUCCCCAGAUUGUAGCGCAUCACUGACUCGGAGAUUUCUGCAGACUGGACGUGGCCUGAUCCUCGCUCCACGUAGCUCUUCCCCUCCUGGUCACAGGUUUGAUGAGACGUUCGACGAGGUUGAGGAAGAGGACUGGCGUGGAGACUUUGCUGCUGAUCUGCUCAAUCCGAUUACCCUCAGUCACGUACCAUGAACGAUUGUGUUUGUUUUGUUUUUUUUUUUUUUGGGGGGGGGGGGGGGGGGACGACUUUUUCUGUUUUUGACCCUGAACCUGCGGCUUCCCUCAGACCUGUGGAACUGUAGCCCAGGUCCUAUAUGUCUGGAAGAGUCUCCUUUCGGCAUUGCUGACCCCCGGCCUCUGACCGUGCUUCUGGGAGGAUGAUGACCGAUCUGGCUCCAGCCCCUUUUUGGCUCAGGGGGAAACUGCGUGAAAAGAGCCUCCCUUCCCCAGAGACGCAACGGCAGCAGGUUUUCAGCAGCUACUACAGCGGCUCAGGCUCCCAGCGGCAGAGACCGCCGGCGGCGGCCCGGCGGGGCCCAGAACUGCUUUUCUUUGGGUAAUGUCUCUCAUCCUAUUCAUGGGAGGACACUUGCUGAGGGUGGCGAUCGGGUGCUGGGGAGUUUCCUUCUCGGCUGUCUAGUUUUGUCACAGAAGUGGCUUUCUGUCAUGUACUUCGGCAUGGUGUACUAUAGCACUACGAGCAGUAACCUGCGUUUGAAGGAAAGUGAACCGCUGGCUCCUGCUUUUGCCGGCUGCCUCCUCGCCUUUCAUGCUUCUCUCUCUCCCAAACAUACUCACUGUGCUCUUUCUGUAUAUAUUGUACAGAGUAAUUAUUUUAAGACCCUUGGAUGCUAUUGAAAUUUCCUACUUUGUUUAGUUUUUUUUUUUCUUUCUUUUUUUUUUUUUUUUUUAAACCGUUGAUAUAAUAUGAGAACUGUAGCUGAUAACGGCUUUAUAUUUGAAGUGUUGUGACUUUUCUGUGUUUCGUUCUCAUCUUAUCCUCCUUUCCUUCUAACCCUGCACGUCCGUGCUGCUCAAGUCCGCUCGCUGUCCACAUCUUCCUUGUUUCGCAUGAAUGGAUCAGUGAUUCCUCUACGGCGAGAGUCGCACAGGUUGAGCCCUGGAUGAAUGUUUUAAAGCCUCUGCGCAACCCCCCCCCCCCCCCCCCCCCCCCCCCCCAUCAUUCUGAGGGCCGAGGCCUCCGAGCCCCCACAGUUGUGGGCUGGAUCUGAUCAGUGCCAGCUGCUUUAUUUUAGAAAUAUUUUAUCAGAACUGCCAUGUGAUGUAUGAGGUGACAGGUUGCAUUGGUGUGAUGAGCAUGUAUCAGUAUGUCACGCUGACGCUAACGUGACGUCUGGUGAGAGCGACGCGUGUCGCAUGGCUGCAGUCAGCGGAAAUAGGCUCGUGUGCUCAGACACGGACAUUUACACGUCAGACCUCUGCUCUGAGAUCUUUUUCACUCUUUUUUUGUUAGCAGCUUGCAUGUUCGAAUGCCAACUGCGAGUCGUCCUGGAGGUCUGUGCACUUUGAAAGAUGGGGGAGUUUUGGUCUUAUUUUCUGUGCUGAAGCGCAGGAAGCUGGGCAGUGUUGUUCUGUCACCGUGUGUCAUGCCGUCGUAGGACAGCGUCUCCGCUGUGGUUCAGUUGACGUCUGACAGCAAUCAUGCUCCAAAACUGCCUACUUAAAAAUUGCAAACCACAAGAGGUGAAGGAUGUUCUCUGAAUGCCUCUCGCGUCCCCACAAGCUGUGUGGUUUUAUUCUCAUACGAUGAGUACAUUUUAACUUUUUUUUAAUCAAAUAGAAGCGGUCGGAAACAAGUGUAAUUAGUAAUAAUUUAGUCGGCCUUCCGUCUCUGGAAGCUACACUAGGAAACCUGUGCUGGCCCUUGAGUUGGAGUGUGCAGGUGAAACAGCGCUUGAUCCUUUAUAAUUUAUUGCUAAACUUUAAUCCCCCCCCACGCAGCCGUUGCUAAAGUCUUUGCUAAAAUGGUGCUCAAUAGACAUCUUCUGUGAUCCCACACGUGAGAGGGGACAGUGUAUCCUGUCGUGUGUCCCUUUCUCCAUGGACCUGUCUGCUUGUGCACCUCACAGCAACACCCCCCCCCCCCCCCCCCCCCCCCACCCCCUUCCUGUCCUUUGCAGCCAGGGGUUCAGAGACUCGGUAUCUGUCAUCGGUACUUGAAAGGAAGAUGUUUACAUGCUUUUUUUAAUGCUGUGUUUGAAUCCCAUUCUCCCGUUUAACCCCACUUGCCCGCCACUCUCCUUAUUUUCAUGCACCCCCUCCCCCCACUGAAGUUUUCUGUCAUGUAAAGUGUACAUUACCACGUUUCUUUUUAUACAAUACUGUAACUUGCCUUUGUACAUUUAGGCAAAAAAUAAAUCUUUUUAUGAGACAAUCA